UUGGCAUAUCAGAGAUUUAGAAGGAUAGAGAUUAGGAAACAGUUUACACAUCAUAAUCGGAGAUACAAAAUAUACCAAAGCUCAUUAACCAUUACUGUGCCCAGAAUUAAUUAGAAAGGAAAGAUAGUGAGUAAAUUAAUGAAGUGUAAAAAUAAAAGAGAGAAGAGAUGCGUUGCGUAGUCCACAAGCAUUAAGUUUUGUGGAUCGAUGGAAUUGACACAUUUGACAGCUCUUUCCUCUCUGCCAUUUCGUCACCAUUUAGGGUUUAGAGUUUUCCCAGACGUUUCCUUUCUUCUGGUCCCUCCUCCUACCAUUUCUGCUUCUCUCUCGUUUCUUCAAAUUAAAAUCAUUGCGGUUUUGAAAACCUU
rnacentral:lncRNA from 1 species